rnacentral:antisense_RNA from 1 species
UUGAUCGAGGCGCUGUUCGGUGAGGGUCAGGCAGAUCAGCCCGCGGCCAUAUUUCGCCAUGAAAUUGAUGGCGUCGGGAGUGACCUUCUCGGCGGCCAUGGUCA